GAGGAGGAGGAGGAGGAGGAGGAACAGAUGCCUCCAUCUGACAGCACUCCGCUCCUAAACAGCCCUGAACUGCCAAGGCUCCAGAUGCAUCUGCCCCCCCCCCCCCCCCAACACCGCUCCCAAUCAGCCCUGAACUGACUGAGGCACGGCAGGAUCAGGAGGAGGCAGAUUUCAGUGAACCAAUGAUACAUGGGGGACCCCUGCCAGGCAUCGAGCAGCCUACCUUGGGCACCCAGGAUCCGGGCAACCAGAGAUCCAUAUAUAGUUGUGAACAAUUGCAGCGUGCCAUACAGCUCCUGCGGGUGGUGGUACCCCUUUUAGUGGACCACUUUUUCAAUAAUUUGUUGAGAGCCAUUUAAUUUAAUUUU